rnacentral:rRNA from 1 species
AUUGAACGCUGGCGGAAUGCUUUACACAUGCAAGUCGAACGGCAGCACGGACUUCGGUCUGGUGGCGAGUGGCGAACGGGUGAGUAACGUAUCGGAACGUGCCCAGUCGUGGGGGAUAACGUAGUGAAAAUUACGCUAAUACCGCAUACGGUAUAAGGAUGAUAGCGGGGGACCGCAAGACACAGCGCGAUUGUAUGGGCCAAUAUCAGAUUAGGUAGUUCGUGGGGUAAAGGCCCACCAAGCCAACGAUCUGUAGCUGGUCUGAGAGGACGACCAGCCACACUGGAACUGAGACACGGUCCGGACUCCUACGGGAGGCAGCAGUGGGGAAUUUUGGACAAUGGGCGAAAGCCUGAUACAGCCAUUCCGCGUGCAGGAUGAAGGCCCUCGGGUUGUAAACUGCUUUUGUACAGAACGAAAAGGUUUCUACUAAUACUAGGAGCUCAUGACGGUACUGUAAGAAUAAGCACCGGCUAACUACGUGCCAGCCGCCGCAGAA